AAGAUCCAGACAUCGACGAGAUCAGAUCGGGAUUUACAUAAAUGCAUUUGAGUUAUUUAUUACUACACGAACGCGCUCGAGUCGUAAUGUUUAUUUUUGUUGAGGUUAAGGUUAUGGUACGGUGAAAAAAAACGUUUAUAAGAUUCUCCCAUUUGUGGUAAAUUUAAUUAACAGCUUUUGAAAUGGACACAUACUAUUUAUGCCAACAGUGUAACUGCGAAUUUGAAAAUUUGGAAGACGCGACUGAACACUGUGAAACCUUCCAUUCAAAUGCGAGCACUUCUAUAAAUGCAUAUUUCAAUGAUGCUCAUAUUGUUACGGAAUGUGUAAAUCAGGAAAGACAGCAGAGCGAAACACAGGAAGAGACCUCUCGAGUAACACCUAUAGAAUCGACAGAAUCACACGAGGGAGACGAAAAUAAACUAUGGCCACAGGAAAAUACGUUCCUUUUAAUACACGUAAUCGAGAUGUAUUAGGGGAGCGAAGGGUAAUCACGAACAGCGGCUAAUGGCGAACAUCCAUUUGUAUCUUGCAGUGCCAACUAUUGGCAUUUACAUACAGUUAAAUAUAAAAGAAAAUGCUAUGACAAGUUGGUCGGUACAGCGCAAAGGAACCUAGCCUCCCGUUUAUGAGAGUUAUGGCGAUUUGUGAAUUUGUAUGUGCUUUGUUAUUAAAACGUUUUAUGCAAAAUUAAGGUCGUUUCGGGGAAUCACGGACACUGUGUUCGGCAUUACCAGACAUGCGACUAAGCGCCGGAAACAAAAGUCUGAGAUUCUUACAUCUACACCUUUUAAGGCUACGUUAGAAGAGAAACAAAGAAAAA